AGCAGCCGCGGUAAUUCCAGCUCCAAUAGCGUAUAUUAAAGUUGUUGCAGUUAAAAAGCUCGUAGUUGAAUUUCGGGGUUAGUAGGUUGGUCAUGCCUCUGGUAUGUACUGGUCUCACUGAUUCCUCCUUCCUGAUGAACCGUAAUGCCAUUAAUUUGGUGUUGCGGGGAAUUUGGACUGUUACUUUGAAAAAUUAGAGUGUUUAAAGCAAGCUAACGCUUGAAUACAUUAGCAUGGAAUAAUGAAAUAGGACGUUCGAUCCUAUUUUGUUGGUUUCUAGGAUUGACGUAAUGAUUAAUAGGGAUAGUUGGGGGCAUUAGUAUUCAAUUGUCAGAGGUGAAAUUCUUGGAUUUAUUGAAGACUAACUACUGCGAAAGCAUUUGCCAAGGAUGUUUUCAUUAAUCAAGAACGAAAGUUAGGGGAUCGAAGACGAUCAGAUACCGUCGUAGUCUUAACCAUAAACUAUGCCGACUAGGGAUCGGAUGAUGUUAAUUUUUAAU
rnacentral:sRNA from 1 species